rnacentral:rRNA from 1 species
CCUACGGGAGGCUGCAGUGGGGAAUAUUGCACAAUGGGGGAAACCCUGAUGCAGCGACGCCGCGUGAGUGAAGAAGUAAUUCGUUACGUAAAGCUCUAUCAGCAGGGAAGAAAUACUGACCUUACGGUCAGCAGACGGUACCUGAGUAAGAAGCCCCGGCUAACUACGUGCAAGCAGCCGCGGUAAUACGUAGGGGGCAAGCGUUAUCCGGAUUUACUGGGUGUAAAGGGAGCGUAGACGGGACGCCAAUGCUGGAGUGAAAUGCCGCAGCUUAACUGCGGAACUGCUUUGGAAACUGGCGGACUAGAGUGCGGGAGGGGUAGGCAGAAUUCCUAGUGUAGCGGUGAAAUGCGUAGAUAUUAGGAGGAACACCGGUGGCGAAGGCGGCUUCCUGGACCGUAACUGACGUUGAGGCUCGAAAGCGUGGGGAGCAAACAGGAUUAGAUACCCCGGUAGUC